rnacentral:rRNA from 2 species
UACAGAGACUGCAAGCGUUAUUCGGAUUCACUGGGCGUAAAGGGUGCGCAGGCGGCCGGGUGUGUCAGAUGUGAAAUCCCGAGGCUUAACCUCGGAACUGCGUCUGAAACUACUCGGCUAGAGUAUUGGAGAGGGUAACGGAAUUCACGGUGUAGCAGUGAAAUGCGUAGAUAUCGUGAGGAACACCAGAGGCGAAGGCGGUUACCUGGACAAUUACUGACGCUCAGGCACGAAAGCAUGGGGAGCAAAAGGG